rnacentral:lncRNA from 10 species
GGGAAAUGAGUGCCUUUAAUCCAGGCAGUGGGGCAAGGAGAAGAUAAGAGGAAAUUCAUCAGCUUAUAACCAAGGGAAGCUAAGGACAGGUGACUUCCGGGUGACAGCUCUGCGACUGCGCUUCAAGAUCACCCUGCUUCUACUCCCAGAGGCAUACCCCUAGUUCGCAGGGAAGUUCCAUUUCAUCACAGACCUGGGAAGCAGAGAGAAGCUUGUUGCCAUCCUUCCCCCACACCUUACUACUGCUUUGAACCAGUGUGCUGCAUUGAAAGAGAUAAGUAGAAAUAGUUGAACCAAAAAUUACAUGAUCCCAUAGUUUGUGCUUAAAAUAAACAAAGAAGCUGAUCUUUCAGUGAACAUGUUUUUAUUGAACACCAACUUAAUUUCAGGAACAUUUCAGGUACAUUGUCAGAAAUAAAGACUCUUAAGAAUGUAUUAUUAUGUACCCAAUACUGGUUUCAGGCCUUUACAUGUAUUCUCAUGAAACUCUAUGAAGUAGAUAUUAUUAUCAAUAUUCCUACUUUACAGAUGAGGAAACCCAGGCCUGGAGAGGUCAAGCAACUUGCUCAAGUGGCACAGCUGGAGAGUGGGGAGCUGGGACUUGAGCCCAGGUAGUGUGUCCCCAGCACCUUCAACUAAACUCCAUUCUGUGCUGCCCUUUGGAACACCCACUCAAUGGCCUUCACACUCCAUGUCCUACUUGGGAGGACAUGUGAUCUCAACAGCACUCACAAAUGAAGGCUUUCCAGACAGGAUAUUGAAGAUGGUAAGAUCAGUCUCAUGUAUAAAGCAUUUUUUAAAAGUAAAGCAUAUUAUAUGCUAGUCAUAUGUACUAGGGUGAAUGCAUGUAUGCUACAUGCUAGUAGAAUUAAUAGUUGGAAUAUAAAAAUACCCUAUAGGCUGGGCACGGUGGCUCACAUUUGUAAUCCCAGCACUUUGGGAGGCCAAGGCGGGCGGAUCACUUGAGGUCAGGAGUUCAAGACCAGCCUGGCCAACAUGGUGAAACCCUGUCUCUACUAAAAAUAUAAAACUUAGUCGGGUGGUAGUGGUGCGUGCCUGUAAUCUCAGCUGCUUGGGAGGCUGAGGCAGGAGAAUCGCUUGAGCCUGGGAGGCGGAGGUUGCAGUGAGCUGAAAUCGUGCCACUGCACUCCUAUCUGGGCAACAGAGUGAGACCCUGUCUCAAAAAAUAAACAAAAACAAAAACAAAACAACAACAACAAAAAACAAAACCCUACAGUGAGCAAUGAGCCUUUAUGUAUUUUUUGAGUUCUUCUCCUAUUUUUUUUUUAAUUUGGCUCUUUCCUUCUACAUACAAGUGCCUGUGGACACAGCAUUGUCCUUGUGCUGUUGCCAUUUACAGCAGUAAAACAACAGCUACUAUUUCUUAAGGGCUUAUAUUUGGCUCUUUAUUAACACUGUCUGUUUUAAGCCUUACGGUAACUGAGGUUGGUAUCAUUGUCCCCAUUUUACAGAUGAGUAAACUAAGGCUUGUGCAAUGUUAAUUGAGCUGCGGAGAGGAUAUAUCACAGCUAAUAAAUUAGAGGGGCAGCAUUCAACCCCAGGUCUUCCUGAAUGCAAAGAUUUGUGCUAGUAAGCUCUGUGUUCUCCUCUGAGGUCACUGUGGUGGGCUCUAGGCACUUAUGCUACCCCAUUUGUGUCAGAAUACAGCAUGUGAACACACAUGUCUAUAGAAUUUUAAACCCAAAUAUUUACUUAUUACUGUCUAAGUUCCAGACACACACCAUAAAAGAUACAAAUCUUAAAAGAUAAACUGGAAGGACAGGUCAGAAUUCUCCCUUAGUAAAAGGUAGCGAUUAUGAGAACUUAGCUCAUUACAGCCUCCAUCUCCUGGACUUAAGUGAUCUUCCUGCCUCAGCCUCCCAAGUAGCUAGGACUAUAGGUGUGCACUACCGCAUUCAGCUAAUUAAAACAAAAAAAAUUUUUUUUUGGUAGAAACAGCAUCUUGCUAUGUUGACCAGGCUGAUCUGGAACUCCUGGCCUCAAGCAAUCCCCUGUCUUAGCCACCCCAAAUGCUGAGAUUUUAGGCAUAAGCCACUGUGCCUGGUGUGACAGGUACUAUUAUCCCUAUUCUACAGAUCAGGGAACUGAGAAAUGAUUGCUUAGUGAAUAGAUAUCUUGGGCUGAAUAGAUCAAUAGAGACUUGAUGAUACAUAAUGUGCUAGGCAUAUUUGGUGGGAUAGGUAAGAAUUAUGCCUUGGAACUAGCCAUGCUAUAACUUGCAAUUCAAUUGGAUCACACCAUAUAUACAUGUCUAAUUUCUUUCCUUAGACUGUUAGCCCCUAGUGAGCAGGAGCCCUGUCUUCUAUGUCUCAUGCUCUUCCCCUGGCUGGCUUAGGGUUGGCACAAACUCCAUCCUCAAACUCUUUCUUGACUGUGUGUCUGUCAAAAGCAUGUAAGUGGCUGCAGCUGUGAGUGCAAAGGCACAGAACAGUGUGUGUUGAGCAUUAAAAUCUUGCUCACUUUUGACUCCAGGACUCCUCUUCUCUUCCUUCCUGGGAGCAUAAGAAUAUGGUGAAAAAACCAGAAUUGUUUUCUCAAGGAAAGUUUUAGUAGGUAAUUUCAGUUGCAGUUGAAUCUCUUCUGUUUCUCCAAGGACUGGGCAUUGCCAGCCCUGCUGUAGCUGGUUGAAGGGGACCAAACCUCUCAGGAAGACGGACUUGGUUCCGUUUGACCAGCCAGAGCAGGGGGCAUCUUUCUUCUGAGGUGACUGCAGCCUCUAGUGUGCAGGUAUCUUGGUGUGUCUCAAGCAUCAUUUGUCUAAGCCUGUAAUGCAAAAAGAAGCAGCAUUAGCAUCUGUCAAAUGCCAGGAGCUUGCCUUGUCCAGAAUGUCCUCUUACAUGAUUUGUACAUACAUCUCAUAC